AAUUGAUAUGCAUAGGGAAGAACAAAGGAUUGCCUUUAAUGUUGUUUCACAUGAAGAAAAAUAUUUUUACAUCCAUUUCAAGUGUGACUUUUGGUGUCUUUGUGUUUUACUAAAUAAGGCCUGAAAAAUAAUUCUUUCCCCUUCAAAAUCAGAGCAUCUUUUUCUGACUAGGUUUACAUAAAUCUACAAACCCUUGACCUCUCUGGGAAACUGAGAUUCUCACAGCUCCACUUCUUUCCCCGCCUCGAAAAAUCUGAGCAGGAACAGGAACUCAUGACAAACAUUUUGAGGAAAGCUGCAAUACCCUGCCACAUCAAGAAAUCUCACACUCCAGUUUCCUAGUUUUCCACUAAGUUCUGUGGCAAGAGCAGGAAAAAUUAAGGCCACAAUGUGCAGGAUAUGCAGAUAUAAUUGCAAUUACCAGCAGCUCUGCCACUGCGGUACGUAAAUUCAGCUCACUGAGAACAUCAUCAGUGACUCCUCAUUGUGGGCUGCCAGAGAUGAAGCUGGUCAUAAUCCCACAUCACUUUUGAAAAUUGUAAUCAAAAUAAAGGAAGCUUAGAAAGGUAAAAUUAAGAAAAAGGAAAAAAUUAAUUUCAGGUUUUUCUUGUUUAAUAAAAGUACUAAUGCAUUUUUCUGUGUCAUAAGUUACAUGUAAACCAUAUGCACAUGCUUCAAAGUUCAAACACUAUGUUUUCACAGGCCAAUCAAAAACAAGCCUCACCAAAGCUAUUUCAGGUUGUUAUGCUCCCUAGUGUGAUUUCUUCAAGCCAGGCACCUAGUGCAGAUCUCAUGAUAACAAAUUGCACGUACCCAUGUUGUAACCAUCAGCGGUGGGAUCAAACUGUAGGACCCAGAAAAGCGAGCACAUUGCAUGUUCAGUAACAGGAUGUAUAAGGUUAUUGAUACUGAAGUCAGGAACACAUCUCCAAUUUGUCUUUUUCCUACAAGUAGGGUUUGUUUGUGGUGCCUGAAGUCUUUUCUUGCAUUUGCACACUCAAGUUGUGAAUUUCAGUAGAGAAAACUACCUGCUCCUCUUCCUAGGCAGGAAUGGCAGGAAACGCUGGGUCUGCCUUUGUGCCAGGGGCUGUUAGCUGGCGCUCUGAGAUCAUGAUGUGAGCCCAAAUCCUUGCUCAUCCUUAGUGGACUCAAGCCAACACUUUCCUGGAGACUGUCCUGUCUCCAAGAGGGGGAACACUGCCCCUCUCUCCAGAUGAGAAAAGGUCACAGUGAUGGCUGAAACGCAGUGUUGUUGAGCAUGAGCAGGAAGGCCGGAGAGGAGCUGUGAUUCUGUGGUCCAAGGUGGAGGCUGACCAUCAGUUUAAAGACUGCUAGGCUAGGUGUGUACACACAGGAUCUUCAGGAACAUCACAUGGGGGACCCCCAGCACAUGGGCACAUCCCACAUUGGAACCAGAUACAUCCUAGGCAGGCUCCCAGGACAUCUAUUGGAUCAGUCCGUAGGAGGCACAGGCACAGUAUCCCUAGCCCUGUGACUCUCAGGUGACCCUGGUGGAGGAUGGGUGUGUAGAAGCCCACCCAAGCUUAGAUGGUAGCCCACCUUCAGGCAUUCACAGUGUAUUUCUGCCUUCGAGGAACUGCAGUCCCACAGGUCAACCAGAUCUUAUAUGAUGCCUAAAUGGCUUCCUAACACUAUUAAAAAAGCCUGAAAAAAAUGCACAUGAAAAUAGACUCAAAUACUUGAAAUUCAAAUUCCAAGAGUAUAUUCUGUGUUCAUUCCUAUGUUAUUAUUACCAAACCCAUUUUCUUCUCAGAAAUCAUAAACUUUCCUGCUUUAAGUUGUUGAAUGAUACAAAGUUAAUUCCAAAUGAGUUGAUUUUUUACUGUAUCUGUCCUGGGUUUAGUUUGUUCAGUUAUUUUUCAUAAAUGCAUUUUACAUCUAACUACCUCAGCUGCCUUUUGGUUUGUUUUGGCGCAUAUGAAGUCAUGCACUUUCUAUAUUCGGGGAUUUGGGGGGAGUUCUUUCCAUUUUGAAUAACCAGGUUCAAAGCCAUGUUGAUCGAUUUAUAGAGGAGAUCAAUUUAACAACACAUAGUUAUUGACAGCUGCAGAACAUACAUUUUAUUUUUAGGUUCUGUUGGAGUAUAGUUUAACAAAAAACACCAUAAGCUGCUUAUUAAUUUGCCUUAAAAAAUGUGUGCUCUUUCCUAUUCAAGUUGUGUUAACUCUUUUCUUGUACACAAUUUAUGUGGCAGAGACUAACGUAACAGUUGGCAGAUAAACAGCAAAUUGAACAGAAUGGACCAAUAGUUUCUCAGUUCUCUGUUGAAAACUGUUGCAUUAUACACUGAUUGUGCUAAAAUAAUUGUUACUGUGCUUAUACUCCUUAGUCACCUUUGCGGAAAUGAAGUGACGAAAGAUCAUAUUUGUGUUUAUGGAACAGUGUAGAUAUCCCCCCAGUACAAGCACAGUGACUUGAGGUGAAUGAUAAUCAUUGCAGAACUUGUGCUUUGACUUGUAAACAUUGUAAAAAUGUAUUUGGUAUUUUAUUUGAAAUGAAGAAUCAAAAUAGUUAUUAAAAAAAAGAAAGAAAUCUUCGUGUAAAUAUAUAUAUUCUGAAUCCAUGUAUACAAACAUUCCUUUAGAGUUCAGAUUGUGAAGAGUGUCUUUAUUGGCUAGAGACCCCUGCCCCGCGUGGCAGAGGUUACAUGUGCUAUAGUAAAGAACACAGUGUGUGAAGUAUUUGAUGUACUGCAGUACCAUAGUUAUUUUGGUCUGUUAAGUAAGUUGCAAUUUGUGAUGAAAUGAAGUUGAAAGUAGUGCUUCAUACUAACAAAUUUCCUUGGUUACAACUUGAUUUUUCUUGUAAAACUUAAAAGGAAAACUUGAAAAUUUUAUAUAUUUGGAUUUUGUAGAUUUUUUUUAAUUUAUUGCAACACAAGGUACCAAAAUCAUUAAAUAAAGUACACUGUGGUCAUUUUA